rnacentral:lncRNA from 1 species
CAUUGCAUUUAUUUUGUAUUUAGAUGCCUGUUUGAACAGACAGCACCCACCACAAGUAUUUCAGCUUGCUGUGGGGACCUCGUGCCCCUGAGACUUUCAGCUUCUGUCAGGGAUGACAAUGGAAAACACCUUUUUCUGCCUUUGUCCUCCAAAAGAGCUCCACAGAGACCACGAAAUCAAGUCACUCAAGGUGUCCCCCUGAGAAUUAAACCUUCUCAUCUUGUUUUCAUAGUUUCUAGACACUUUCUCAGGAAAGUAACUAUAAACACAGAUGUUUAUACAUUCCAUUAAAGAAAUGUCUUUUGAUGGAUGUUUCUCAUGACCAGUGUGGUUGGGAAGGUGGUAACCUGACUAUCCAAUCCCUGGUCGUUGUCAAGAAUCUAUAAAUACUGGAACCACA